CCCAAGUCAAAGCUAAUGUUCAUUCUGACAUUUCAUGACCAGCAUUAUAAUUCUCAAGCUAUUUUCUCAACUAAAUGGAUGGAUAUUGGCCUUAUUUUCCUCAGGUCAACUGUAGAAUCAGUGAAGCAUUCUUAGCUCUAGAAUUUACUUCCCCUAGUGGUCCAACAAAUGUAAACUUACUACCUUUUCAGAGAUGGCACUAGUUUUCUCUUGGCAAUGCUGAACACAAAAGGAAUAAUGUUCCACAUCAAAUGACCAACUCAAGGGUUCUAUAAAUGCAUUUUCAUAAGCAAGAUACAGGAUAUAUUUUUAGAAAUUAGUAAACAAUUCUAUUAAUAUAUUUAUGACAAUUGUUUAAUAUUAUAAUAAAUAAAACGUUUAUUGACCAAUAAAAUAGCAAUGGCCAA